AGUAGCUGACGAGUCCAAAACAGGACGAAACGCGCGUCAAUUUGGAU
rnacentral:hammerhead_ribozyme from 1 species